rnacentral:misc_RNA from 1 species
AUUAAGCUUCCCCUUACGACAGACGAAAACAGACCAUGGUAGUUAGCAGGAGGUUUUCUGAUGUGGACGGGGGGUGGGCCUGGGCUGUACUGGGGGCCAGCUUCCUGUCCCUCCUCCUCAAUGGAUGCCUCCUGUACGGGGUGGGGAUCACGCACGUUGCACUGUUGCGUUUCUACAAGGAAUCGGACACUUACACGUCUUUUGUCGGGUCUUUAUUCUGCAGUUUGCUACAACUUGUAGGGCCAAUUGCCAGUCUCCUAAUCAACGUGUUCAACUGCCGACUGACUAUGAUCAUCGGGGGCAUCUUCAUCUUCAUUGGCUGCGCCUUAACGUAUUUUGCACACUCUCUGAACGUUGCGCUCAUUACAUAUGGAAUCAUCGCAGGAAUCGGCAAUGGCUUAGUGGCCACGCCCCCUCUGGUUGCUGUUGGAUACUACUUCCGGAAAAAGAGAGGUAUCGCUGUUGGUUUAGCCGUUUCUGGAGCAGGUGCAGGAAUGUUCAUAAGCGGUCCUCUGUUCCAGUAUUUGUUUGAUGCGUAUGGAUUUCAAGGAGCAAUGUUGAUACUGGGUGGCCUCUUCGCAAACCAGAUCGUACUUGGAUGCAUAAUGAGACCAUCUCAAACCGAAACUUUCCAUAAAGAACUGCGAAGCAAAGACAAGGAUGGUCUACCGAGCGGCGGGGUUAACCUUAGAAACUACCUCCACUUGGAUAUAUUUUGUGACAAAAUGUUCAUGGUAAUAAUACUACAGUUCUUGAUCUGGAACAUACCGUUCGCCAUGCUGAUCUUACAUCUGCCCAAUUUCUCUGUCGUGAAAGGUUCCACAGAGCAACAGGCGGCGUUCCUUAUUUUCCUGAUUGGGUUAUUGGGGACUUUUGGACGUGUUAUAACCGGAAUGGCUGUUUCAUGAUAGAUAAUGGAGGAACAUAUGAGACAACAUUCUACAUUUCAGGCUUUCUUCUAAUUGCCUCCUCUCUGUUGACAUUGGUUUCAACGUUUUGGAGGAAGGAUUUCGGAGACCAGAAGACAUAUGAAUACGACAUUCCAGCAGAAGACCAAAGCAAGAAAAACUCCACGUUUCUGACCCAGUCGGGACUUCUUGCAGGAUCCAUGAUAAUUCAAGCAGACGAGAAGAUAGGAAGCGCAUCAAGUCUCAACUUGAGACUCGCGCAUGCCCAGAAGAGAUUUCCGAACGAGCCAGGAAAUCGUGAUAGCGAGGAAAGUCUCUUCAAGAAUGUUAUGCGUCGUCACCUGCAAGCGAGCAGAGACGAAAAGAACAGCCAACAUAGCUUGUUCAAAGACCCAAACAGUGCUACAAAUGACGGAGAAUUUACGAUACAUAUACGCGAGAUUGAUGAAUAGGAAUAAUAAAAUAAACAAAAUAUACGAAUUACGAUAUAACUGAAAGUUCAUUUACAUCCAUUUAUGGAAAUAAUGUUUCCAAUAGACUGUGAUACUAAUGAUAAAAGUGACAAAGUAAUAAAUAGGAUACUAUAGUUACAU